CAAUCUCUGGCUAGCUGCUGCACGCGAAGAUGACAGCAGUGGCAGAGGCAGCGAUGCCCUUGUCUUCUCUGGAGGCUACAGUGGUGAUGCUUUUGCUCCCUUGCCCAUGUCCAGAACUGACAAUCCAGCGGGGAGAUGAAGACGUAAACAGUUUCUAGGAGGAUAUGAUCACAGGGUGCUCAGCAAGCACAUGGUGGUGUCACAUAACAGCUUUGGGGAGCCAGGGAACUUGGGCUACAGUUUUGCAAAGGAACUCUGAAACCAACUUCUGCAAUGAAGUGAAUCUGCCCAAGGGAUAUUUUUUACCCUGAAAAAACACUAACUCCCCUAAGAACUGAAGAGCUUCUUUUUGCAGAACUAUCUUAUUGUUAUUCGGGACUGAUGGAAUGUCAGUCUUUUCUGCCAGAAACAGAAAUGCUAAUCGGGCCAUCAGCAUGUUGGGAUGGAGGACUGGCACUUCCAUGCUUGGCUUAGGCCCACGUGGACAACGGUUUUGCUGAAUCUUGUUUUCGUAGGUCCUUCUGGAGAUGCAGCCGGUAAGAAAUGUUGGCAAUCGAGAGAAUGUUGCUUUAACCAAGUUCAUUGUAGUACAUUUUUCA